AACGAACGCUGGCGGCAGGCUUAACACAUGCAAGUCGAGCGCCCCGCAAGGGGAGCGGCAGACGGGUGAGUAGCGCGUGGGAAUCUACCCAUCUCUACGGAAUAACGCAUGGAAACGUGUGCUAAUACCGUAUACGUCCUUCGGGAGAAAGAUUUAUCGGAGAUGGAUGAGCCCGCGUUGGAUUAGCUAGUUGGUGGGGUAAAGGCCUACCAAGGCGACGAUCCAUAGCUGGUCUGAGAGGAUGAUCAGCCACACUGGGACUGAGACACGGCCCAGACUCCUACGGGAGGCAGCAGUGUGGAAUAUUGGACAAUGGGCGCAAGCCUGAUCCAGCCAUGCCGCGUGAGUGAUGAAGGCCCUAGGGUUGUAAAGCUCUUUCACCGGUGAAGAUAAUGACGGUAACCGGAGAAGAAGCCCCGGCUAACUUCGUGCCAGCCGCCGCGGUAACAC
rnacentral:rRNA from 1 species